GUGCAGGAGUGCGUCUCUUCGGAAAAGCUGCCCAGGAGGCCGUUCUCAUUGCAGUAGAGAAAAGACUGGAUGCGGUUGAGCCAAUGCAUCUCGGAAGGAAUGUGUUUCGGCUUCUCAGGCUUCAGCUUGUCACGUAUGAAUACCGAUAACUCCACAUACUGUCAAAGCCCUGCUACCCUGGGACUGAAGAGCUAGCAACCACUUCAUAAGCAAAUCUUGUCUUCUCUGCCAUGGCCCUCUGCCAAGUCAGCCUGCCCUGGACCCAGUGACUAUGGACUGAAACCUCAACUAUGAGCCAAAAGAAACCUUUCUCUCCUUGAUUUCUGGAUUGUAUUGUUCCAGUGACAAAGAAAAAAAUCAGCCUACAUGUGAUUGACAAGUGUUCUGUUUUAAAUAUAAAGUGCCUGCCAAUGACUCAUGAAUUGAAGGUUUAAUCCCCAGUGCAGCAGUGUUCAGAGAUGAAGCCUAGAGAGGUAAGUGGAUCAUGAAGGUGCUGAUCUCAUCAAUGGAUUUGUGAGCUUGUACCCAAAUGAGCUUAUUAGAAGGUGGGAUCCACUUGGAGGAAGUAGAUAGAUCACAGCCUCUUCCUCUUUCUCUGGGUCACGUGUCCUCAUUCUGCUUCUUGGUUGUCAUGAAAUGUGCAGCUUUCUUUAACCACUUCUGCCAUGAUAUCCCUGACACAACACAAGCCUAAAACAAGGGCGUAAGCUGAUAAUGGACUAAAACAUCUGAAUCUGCUAGCCAAAAUAUACAUCUUCAUUUAUAGGUUGUGUAUGUCAGGUAUUUUAUCCUAGCAACAGAAAGAUGAUUACCAUAGUGAACCAGAUUCUUACACACAACCUCAGACAAUUUCUUGGAAUAGGAAGGCCUUGCUAACAUAUUCAGUCCUAUCAAACUCUUAUAUACAUGAAUAUGUUUCAUGUUUUCUCUGUAUGUAAAUUAACAGCCAAAAACGAGCUAUUAGAAAAUGUUUUAAAACUAGCUAGCCAUCACUGUGGAGGAAUAUGUGCAGAAAAGAUCAGAAACAUACAUACAUAAGAGAGGGACAGCAGUAGACAGUUUUGAAUUCACAUGCACUGAGCACUCUGUGGCCCUAUGUUUACGAAAAUUUGGAAAUUGCGUACUGAAAGUUUUUGCAUUACUUAUGGAAAAAAUAAGCCUAACAGUAAAGCUUAACUUAAUAAAUAAAUUCUACUAUGUUCCAGUAAAAUUAAUUUACUGUUUAGUACACAACUCAUGUCACAG